UGAAACGGGAGCAAGCAAGCUGAAUGGCUCCAUUAAUUUAAUUGAAGCCAGCUCAGACAAGAGAUAAAACAUCCCAGCCUGCUUCUUUUCAUGAGCCGUGAGUGCUGUAGUAAACAGGCAGAGAUCCAAACCCCAAAUAGAAAUAAAGGUGCACGGGACACUCCAGUGACUUCAAGGCCAUGGGAUCUGACAGAUGCAGAGAUGAAUUAACCCUGAAGAGGCCUCAAGGUAUAGCACCAGGCCAGUACCGAGCACUGCCUAGGCCUCUUUCAGAAACUGAAUGACUCCGGGUUACAUAGUGCAAAGCUGCACGGCCACUAUUUAAGGCAGCGUGGCAGUUCAUCUGGAGAAUGGGAGUCGAAUACUCUUUUGUUACCACUGAAAUACUUGUUCAACCAUGUUCAUUGCUGUUUGCUAUUCCGAAAAGUAAAAAAUCAGAAGCCACCUAGAUGUCUCUCAUCAGAAGAAGGCGUAAAGAAAACCUGGUGCAAUCAGACAUUCUCUGGUAAAUGAAUGGAACUAGAAAAUUCAUCCUGAGUGAUUAAAGACAAAGAUGCAGAAGGAAACAAUCACAGAGAUCCAUGGAACAAUCAGCCCUACAAUGAAUGUCUCCACAAAUGUCUCCCUUCACGUCUCAGAAAAAACUAAGAAAGAAGAGGUGGAAAGAAUGAAAGAGACCGAGGAAUGGAAGACAGCAAUCAUCGCUUCUCGGCCUUUUGGCUAAGAUCAAGUGUGGAAGACAGCAACCUAUGUGACCCUCUAGAUGGCCAUGAGCAAAACUCAGAUGACCUUGCACAGACUGAAGGAGCAUGCACAGGGUCUGCAUUUGUCUGCACUAAAUCCUUUGCAUAUAUAUUAUGACUUCUACUUUAGUGUUAUUACGGAAUUGCAAAGGUGUGAUUGAGUGAGUCUUUGAUUCUUGGGCCUUCUCUCUCUUUCUUCUGAUUUUUGUUAUUGUUGUUUGUUUGUUUGUUUUGGUUUUAGUCCAGUAUGAUGUGUUAGUUUUUGCUUUUAUUUUGACUACACACACACGCACACACACACACACACACACACACACACACACACACACACACGCGCGCGCGCGAGUGCGCGCACACACACACACAUAUAUAAUUUACAUGUUAAUAUCCCUUGGAAGCCUGCUUUUUUUUUCUAAUCAGGGAUAGAGGAAGUGAGGAGGAAACAGGAGGAGGAGGAACCAUAUCAGGAUAUAUUAUGUGUGUAAAACAUGUUUUAAAUACAAGGCAAAGGAGAAAGAACUGAGAUAUCUCUCUAGCAUCUCUUUAAUAUGCAAAAUGCUACUAUUUCAUCACAUAAAAUUUGAAUGGAGAUUUUAUUGGAAGGUAACACACAGUGUUUGCUCUGAAGUUGUGUGAGGCUAUUAUAACUUUGAUAUCUACAAUGAUGCGUUGUCAACACAUGCUGUAUCUUUCUAAGCUAGCAGACCAUAAUGAACUCUGAUUAGUACAUUAAGAGGUGCCUUCAAUCCAAUUCCUGACUUCCACUAAGUUUUAUAAUAUAUUUAACUAAGAUAUCAACUGAAAUUCAUCAUUAAGACUUUAACAAUAUAUAUCCAGGACUCAUUUAUAUGUUUAUAGAAUACCUGUCUGAAGAUACCUAGAUAUUCAAAGUUCUGAGAUGCUGAGUUACUUCUCAGGAUUGUAUCCUUCAACGAUCCUGGCUCUGUAUUACAGUUUUCAUUCUCUUUUUGAGAAUUCCCUGUGUGUGACCCAGAGAAAAAAUAUACUAUACAGGUAAAAGAUAUUUAAGUGAUGAUUUUCAUGUGUGUAUAACAACUAGUAUAUAAAUAUGGACAGUCAUAGAAACAAAUGUCUUUAAAUGAGAAACUUUAUUUCAAUCUACUGUACACAAUAUCACAAUUAUCCAAGGAAUACAACAACUUAACCGAGAAAUGGAGGCUAUUUCAAUUUUGACAUUGUUAAUUGUUAUUCAAUUAUUCACUAUGAGAAGCCACCGAAUAGAAAUAACAAUAGUACAAACACCAAAUAGUAAAAGAUAUAUUUUUAGCAGAAAAAGGUCAAUAUUAAUUUUUAGGAUUGUUGGGACUAUACCAUAUCACCAAUGCUUAAUUAAUAGUGUAUAAAUUAUGGAGUAUGACUUAUUUUAAUAAUCUAAAAUAUUUUGUGUGAUACACAGUUUCUGUGAGAUUCUCAGUGUAUAGUAUAUGACAAUGGAAACUGGACUAUCUAAUAGUGAACCUUGGGUAAAUUUAUAUUGAAACUAUGUUUUAUGGUGAUAAUUCUCAGAAUUUUUACCGACUUUCUAAAAAUGGGAGAAGGGGUUCUUGUUUCACAAACAUGUGUGGUAAUCAAGAUUUCUUCCUUCCAGAGUGUGAGGGUGGUCAUUGAUUGUCCACACAGAAAAAAAUGUUAAGCAAUAUCUAUCAUUUUCGAUGUGAAGUUAAAUAAAAAUGGGCAAAUGAUAACAAAAACAGAUGACAAUAGGAGACUAAAGUGUUUAAGAAUAAAUAUUUCUGAAAAAACAUUUUUUAAAAAAUGGUUUAUGGACAAAAUGUCAAAUGUAAUUUUUUAACCUUUAAUAUUAUAAAUUAUUUGCAUAAAACAAUCAAGAAAAUGAUCUGUUAGCAGAAAAAUCACUCAUAAGUUAAUUAAAAUAAAGUUAUUUAUAAUGUCAUUAAUUCUAUUCUUUAAAUAUUUAAGAAACUUUAUAAUCUCUGGCCAAUAUUUAUGAUAAUCUUGAAUUCCUCAUAAAAAUUCUGGUAAUGAAGAACCAGAAUAUAAAGAUACAUCAAUAUUUUGACAUUAGAGUUAAUUAGUCAUUGUACUGUUUUUUUAUUUCAAUUAUAUACUUAACACUUUUAUAAUUAACUAAAAUUAAGAUACUAUAUGUGUAUUCAAUUGCUAUUUUUAAAAAGCAAGAUGAUACUACUCAAGAAAUUUGAACUUAUUAUUUAUACGCAAAAAUAUGGUAUCUGGUAGUAGUUUUGUCUAGGUAAAAUGAUAAAGCCCAUGUAACAACAACUUCCUCAAAGCAUUACCUUAAAUUAUUCUAGGGAAAAAAUCAUGACUGGCCCAAAGAAUUUCUUCCUCAUUUUGUAAAGUGCCUUUCAAAGAUAAGAGGGAAAAACAAGAAUCAUGAUGUUGAAACGUGAAGGCAAGUGCCUACAUGCUGGCAAAUUCCCCUCUUAGAUGUGUAAUAACCCUCUCAUUUGGCAUUUUAGUUUUUACUUUUCUGUCUUCAAUUGUUACUCUAUCUUUAUAUGUUGCACUCUUCUGAAGGCAUGGUGGGUGCUCUGAAAUACAUGAAUAGCAGUAAUAAGCAAGCUAAUAAUAUAGCAUAUUUUUCCACAGGUUAAGCUACAAAAAUAAUAUUGAUAUUAAUCAGAAAUCAAAGAAAUUGGAAUUGUAAACCCUUAAGUUUAGGACAUGAAGGAAUAAAACAAGACUAUAGUACUCAGACCAUCUUACUUAACAGCUGGAUUGUAGAAAAUUGCUCAGAGAAUGAUGGUUGUGUUAAUUUUCCCAUAUAGUCUCUGCUUCAGGCCAUGGAGUCAAGCCCUUAUAUUAGUAGAAGUAAUAGAUUAACAGAAAAUCUUGAGGUUUUUCUUGCUUUUUCUUAAGAGACAAAGACACACAAACAAACACACACACUAAAUUCUAUAGAACUUGGUUCACAGAAUCACUUCUAAUUUGUAUUGUAGUUUCUGCCUGUGUAAAUAUAUUGAAACCAGAUACCAGAAUUUGAGAAAUUCAUGUAGUGCUCUCUCUCUCUCUCUCUCUCUCUCUCUCUCUCUCUCUCUCUCUCUCUCUCUCUCUGCAUCUUAGUGAAGUAAAAGUUCUCUAUGAAGCCCCUUUCCCAGACAAGGGUAGAGACAGACCCACUAGAGAUGGCUGAGAAGAUACCUGCUGAGUGUAGGAAAGCUUCAUAGCAAGGCGUAAGUUCAGUAACCAAAGAUGCUAUUCGAGAAGGGCUGGAAAAGGUUAUCAUAACCAUGAAAAUGAAGGUCUUUCCACAAAAUUGCCCACAUCAAUUUCUGUUGUACUUAUAUGUGACUCACCAAUGUAACAUGUUUGAGCUUUCUUAGAUAAUUAUGGAGAAUGUGUGAUAAAAAUAAAGUCAGUUUUAGUGAAAGAGGCAGAUAUUUCAAUUCAUUGAUUAAGGUCUCUAGCAUAAUACGUUGAAAUGUUUUCAGUGAUCAGUAAUAACUGUGAAGUAUUUUGUUAAAGAAUUAGAAAAGUCGGGUGAGCUUUCAUCUGACUGAGGAGUCAUAAGCUUUACUUCCCAGUGUUUAUUUUUGUGUACUCUCUUCAUGAACUACAUGAAAUUUGACUGCUUGCUUCCUCAAUUUCUCAUUUGGUUUACAUGAUGAGCCCAUCACUAAAGUGAAUCCAUUGUUCUUAGAGACAAUGCCCUUGAGUUGCUGAACUACAGAUUCCACUAGACAUAUUUAGUCAAAAUUACUUUUUUCUUUUUUCCGGAAUGUGGCAUUUGUUGGGUGUCUGUGUGUGCUUAUGCUUAUGUAUGUGCACAUCUGCAUGAGUAAUUAAGCUAGGAUCAUCUAGAAGAAAGUCCCUUUGUGAAUAAACUCCUCUAUUGUCUUGUUGAGAUCCAUUUUCUAAUAUACUCUUGGCCAAAAAUCGUCCUGUUCUAGAAACUAGAUUUUAACACAAGCAAUCCAUGAUGCCCUGUUCUAGUCACAUAUGCAGUUACCAUGAUGAUAGAUAGGUUCAGAGAGGACUGUUACAUGUGCAGCCCACAUGUUUCAAGCCUUUCUAACUCUGAUUUCUCUUUAAUAUGAUAAGAGGGCAGUUUUAGCAUUCUUGUGUUCCAUUUUCCUCCUGGUGGGAUAUUUUUCACCAACACAGAUGUGUUUUAAAACUGUAUUCUGAAUUUACUUGCAAAUUUUAAAAAUAGUAAACUUUUACCAAAGGAAAGAAGUCUGCAUUCAAAGAACUAUACAUAUCAAUCAGAGUACUACUGACAUGGGCACAGAGCUUUACCACUUUUCUUACUGUCCCUUCAAAAUUUAAGGUGAUGCAUUUCAAAUCUCGAAACUUUAAAUGAAUGAAAAAUUGUAUUAUCUGAGGAAGAACAAAAUCAAUAGAUAUGAAACAGAUGAAAAUUCUUAAACGCUAUCAUGGCUAUCAAUAUUAAUGUGGUAUAAAACAAAGUAAGUUGCAUUUAUUGCAUGAAAUAUUAUUACAUUUUGUCUCACUGUGUCUUGUUUUUAUCAAUAUAAACAUAUUUACGUUGCAUUUAAUAAGUAAAAUGAAAUAUAGUGUUAUCAUGUAUAAUUAGAAUCUUCUUUGGGAAGACUACUGCUAAUAAUAACUGUAAUGAUAGUAUUUAAAGGACUAUGAAAUUUUAAUUUUUUAUACAGGAUAUAUCUUUAAAGAUCAAUAAAAGCAAAUUGAUAUAUACAA